rnacentral:lncRNA from 1 species
UUGGAUUGGUGUUCACGUGUCACAAACACUUUCAGUUGUAGAUAAUGUUGUUCUGCAUCGAAAACAUGUGGUAGAACUGGAUCUAACAAGCAGAUGCCUUGGGAGUCUUUUGUAGUGUAGACAAGCUGUAUUUUUACAGGUAAUACAUUUUUGCUACUUCUUGUAGAGGCAAUUUCUUGCAGAAUGCUCAAAAAUGGUGUAACCCCUAUUCCACCCGCAACUAGAAGUAGACUAUCGUAUCUGCGGAAGAUUCAACAAGUAAUUAUAUAUGGGAAAAGAUGAAAACUCGAUUUACAAACGUGGAAGAACAUCAUUUUGUUACCUCAGAAAGUCCAUUGAUGAAGGUCCAUAAGGGCCUUCUGUUGCUACUUGAAAGAACCUCAUUUCACCAGCUUCUGAAUCAGGCUUUGAAUGUAGCAUAUUACAGAGAGUGCUUGUCCACCUUCCCUCAGCUUUGAUCAAAAUAGAGAUGGUGUGUUUAUCUACUUUCGAGCUAGAAGUUAUGCUAAAAGGGUGCCAUUGAAAAUUCGAAAUCCUUGGAAUCUUGAUAAAAAUCACGCUUGUUGGUGCAUAUGUCAACCCUGAAAUUGUGUGUUAAGUACGUGAUUAUUUAGGACCACGAAAGCAUAUCAGUAGCUUUUUAAAAUUGGAAAGAGAUUACUGAUAUUGUACUUGGAUCUUUUGGCAGAGUCAACUCAAUGGCUUUGGAAGGAAAGAUUCGAGCAGAAAGAAUAUACGUUUCUGGCCUUGACUGAAUCAUUCGGAGUAUCUUGUCAAGGCAAAACAAAAAAAAG